GGAGGGUGCAAGCGUUGUUCGGAAUUAUUGGGCGUAAAGAGCGUGUAGGCGGUUCGGUAAGUCAGAUGUGAAGGCCCUGGGCUCAACCCAGGAAGUGCAUUUGAAACUACCGGACUUGAGUACGGGAGAGGAGGGGGGAAUUCCCGGUGUAGAGGUGAAAUUCGUAGAUAUCGGGAGGAAUACCUGUGGCGAAGGCGCCCCUCUGGACCGAUACUGACGCUGAGACGCGAAAGCGUGGGGAGCAAACAGGAUUAGAUACCCUGGGUAGUCCACGCCGUAAACGAUGAGCACUAGGUGUAGCGGGUAUUGACCCCCCUGCUGUGCCGUAGCUAACGCAUUAAGUGCUCCGCCUGGGGACUACGGUCGCAAGACUA
rnacentral:rRNA from 1 species